UGGGGAAUAUUGGACAAUGGGCGCAAGCCUGAUCCAGCCAUGCCGCGUGAGUGAUGAAGGCCCUAGGGUUGUAAAGCUCUUUCACCGGUGAAGAUAAUGACGGUAACCGGAGAAGAAGCCCCGGCUAACUUCGUGCCAGCAGCCGCGGUAAUACGAAGGGGGCUAGCGUUGUUCGGAUUUACUGGGCGUAAAGCGCACGUAGGCGGACUAUUAAGUCAGGGGUGAAAUCCCGGGGCUCAACCCCGGAACUGCCUUUGAUACUGGUAGUCUUGAGUUCGAGAGAGGUGAGUGGAAUUCCGAGUGUAGAGGUGAAAUUCGUGGAUAUUCGGAGGAACACCAGUGGCGAAGGCGGCUCACUGGCUCGAUACUGACGCUGAGGUGCGAAAGCGUGGGGAGCAAACAGG
rnacentral:rRNA from 2 species